rnacentral:tRNA from 1 species
GCUUCCAUGGCUCAGUUGGUCAGAGCGCCGGUCUCAUAAGUUGAAAUAUGAGUGACUUUUGAAGAGUCAUUUAAUCCGGAGAUCACCAGUUCGACCCUGGUUGGGAGCA